rnacentral:tRNA from 1 species
UGCGGGAUCGCCAAGUGGUAAGGCACUAGACUCAUAUUCUAGUUAUCGGGGGUUCAAUUCCCCCUCCCGCAACCA